rnacentral:rRNA from 1 species
GAUCAUGGCUCAGAACGAACGCUGGCGGCAGGCCUAACACAUGCAAGUCGAACGCGUGCCUUCGGACACGAGUGGCGGACGGGUGAGUAACGCGUGGGAAUUUGCCUUGGGGUACGGAAUAACCGCGGGAAACUGCGGCUAAUACCGUAUACGUCCUUCGGGAGAAAGAUUUAUCGCCCCAAGAUGAGCCCGCGUCCGAUUAGGUAGUUGGUGAGGUAACGGCUCACCAAGCCUUCGAUCGGUAGCUGGUCUGAGAGGAUGAUCAGCCACACUGGGACCGAGACACGGCCCAGACUCCUACGGGAGGCAGCAGUGGGGAAUAUUGGACAAUGGGGGAAACCCUGAUCCAGCCAUGCCGCGUGAGUGAAGAAGGCCUUAGGGUUGUAAAGCUCUUUCGGUGGUGACGAUGAUGACUGGUAGCCACAGAAGAAGCCCCGGCUAACUCCGUGCCAGCAGCCGCGGUAACUACGGAGGGGGCAAGCGUUGUUCGGAAUUACUGGGCGUAAAGCGGCGCUGUAGGCGGAUGAUCAAGUCAGAGGUGAAAGCCCUGUGGCUCAACCUAGGAGGUGCCUUUGAAACUGAUUGUCUUGA